rnacentral:lncRNA from 1 species
UGGCUGUAUCUGGGAACCACAGACAGAAUCAUGGAACUGACCAUCUUCAGUCUCAAAGUGCUGCCCUCACCACUACACCCAGGGGCAGGUGGUCUUCGGGGGAAAGGCGGUUCCAGUUCCUUCUCCCAAGCCAGUGAGGAAGUCAAUCCUGCGAACAACUGCAGGAACGGCCUUGGGAGUGGAUCCUUCCUCAGCCCGGCUCCAAGACAACUGCAGCCCUGUGAGAAACCCUGAGUGGAGGACCAAGCCAAGCCUCAAAUCGUGACUUGGAACUGGGAGACAACAGAUGCUGUUGGAAGCCACUGAGCUCUGAAGUAGUUUGUUACACAGUGACAGGCAUAUACAAAAGUCUGACAUGGUGCAAUGAUCUCAUCAAGAGAUAACAGAACACACAGGAGAGGGUUGGGUUUCCUCCCCGGCCCAACCCCCUCAGGAAGGCACAGAAAAGUGAGGCUUGGGUUCGGGAAUCUAGGAUCUGGGGAAGGUAAACUGAGGCCACCAGUAAGCAUGUGCUCCAGGCCAAGGCUGAGUCUGUGCUGCAUCCAUGUCAUCAGCCACCCAAGAAAAACCAGUUACUCCACCUAGCUCAUGGUGGCGGCAUCCUCCCUGCAAUGGUGCAUGGGGGGCAGUCCUUUCCCCUGCAGGGUGUCAUUGCCACCCCCAUCCUCAUCCUGGAGGCCAGUCCAGGCUCCGAUAUGAGUGACUAGGGGUGAGGUAGGGGUGGCAGAAGGGAGAUCAAACUGGAGCAUUCCAGAUGCCUACUACUGCCCUCACACAACGGGGCAACUGUGCUCUCCAACUCCUCCCCUUGGCAGAGAAACUGGUCCUGCAGUUUCAGGACUAGACGAGCGUGGGGUAGUGGCAAUAAAGGGGCUUGUAUGAGAAGU